CGGAGAGGGCGCUCCUUUUACUCACGGCAGCAACACGUCUGGCUCCGCGGGCCGCGCCUAGGCCUACAGGCCUUUCAGGGCCAAGUCCUCCAGCGGCGGGUCGGUGGCGUGCGUGGCGGCAGAAGCAGCGGCAGCGGCGACUGCUCCGGAAUCCCAAGCCCUCCGGCUUGUUUUGGCGUCUCCCGGGUUGCGGGGCUUUUAGCUGCGCCUGGCCCAGGACUCACAGCUAAACCGUCUCAGCGCCUCACCCAGCCGCCUGGGCCUCUUCCGCUCCCUUGUCGGGCCUAGCCCCGCCUCCCCGCUUCCGCCCCUCAGUGCGCCUGCGCACUGGUUCCGCGCUGACUCCUGGGGCUUCUCCCUAAUGCACUAGGGCUUCUUAACGCGCUGCUGCUUUGAGAGCGAUUGACUUUAUGAAAACGAACGGGAUGAACUAAGCUGACUUAGUGCUUCACAGGACCCAUGACUGGGAGGCCUGAGGAAACUUGCAGUUAUGGCGAAAGAUGAAGGGGAAACACGGACCUUCUUCACAUGGUGGCAAGAGGGAGAGAGAGCGAAAGGGGACAUGGACGAAUCUGGAGAACGUCAUCCUCAGCAAACUGACACAAGAACAGAAAAUGAAACACCGCAUAUUCUCACUCAUAGGCGGGUGAUGAAAAAUGAGAACACAUGGACACAGAAAGGUCCUCUGAAGGACAGUCAAGCAUGCAUCAUAUUUUCUGUACUGAUUUCUGCUCCCAGUUUUUCGCAUUAA
rnacentral:lncRNA from 1 species